AAGCUACUCCCUCCGUUUCGAAUUACUUGUCGCAGGUAUGGAUGUAUCUAGAUGUAUUUUAGUUCUAGAUAUAUCCAUUUCUGCGACGAGUAAUUUGAAACGGAGAGAGUACUAU
rnacentral:pre_miRNA from 1 species